rnacentral:lncRNA from 1 species
GGGGGCUUCGCAAAUAAUGGUUAUGGACUUCAGAAGGCCCAAUGGGUCAGCUUCAGAACCAGUGGAAGGAGGGUGGAGCUGACAGAACAGGUGACUUGCUGCUUCAAGCUGACCUCUGAAGCGAGUAUACACAGGCCACUUGUACAUUCUUCAUCAAAUCAUUAAGAAGUCAAAUGAAAAUGACCAACCACUGUCUCUGACAUUUAUUAUAUAUAUGAAAGGCAUUUAGGAGAUGUAAAGACCAGGCAAUUGUGAAACAACUAUAAAGAUGCAAGACUGAAAGCCUCAAGAGUGACAUUCAGCUGCUCAGUUAUGCCAGCAAAAUGGAUUAGUAGAAGAUUCUAAGUUAUGGUGACUGAGUGAAGGAGAUGAUUGCUGGAAGAAUUAAAGCUGGCUGUCUGGAAGGAAUUUAGGAAGACGUAGUGGUUAUAUAAUACUGAAAUCCUAGGAAACUGGAGAGUAUGUAUUCUUGGCUUAUCAUUUAUUUCUGUUUGGAAAUGAUGGGGCAUUAUGAAGCUUUCCUAGAAGUUCCUAAAGGAGAAGUCAAGCAGCAGACACAUCUUCAUAAUGAUUCAGAAGACCUUCAGCUUACGGAGUGAAGCUUUACUGUGAACGGAGAGUAUUAUGCAGACAUAGCCUGCAGAGGAACUGCUGGGCAGAUUGGUGUCCAUAUGAAUUCCUUUGGCAAGAUGUACUAAAAGUUCUGGACUUGUGAAGUUAAAAUCUGGUAACAAAUGAGCUUAAUGAAUCAGAGAGAUGCAAACUUCAGCUGCAUGUGUAUGGGACGUGUCCUGUUAACAUUGAGAAUUACUCUUGGUUUAUGAUACUGCAAAAGUGCAGCUAAGCCAGACCAUAACUCUAGUGCCUCUGAUCAGGGCAAAAUUAGGGUUAAAUAGAACAAGGUUCUAUGGUGAGUAAGAUGAACCAAAAGACUCAUGGUAUCAGUUUUUAAAAUGAUUUCUCUCUUUCUUGCUCUUGGGCUUAUUUGCAUUUCCAUAAUUCCUUAAUCCCAGAAUAAAUUUAUUUUUUAAAAUAUAA